UUGGAGGAAAAAAAAUGUUUUAUUUUAGCUGAAAUGAAAUCAAUAAUGUGAUUUCUCUGUUUGUUUUCUUUUUUGAUACUCACGGGAUAUACAUCUGAUAAGGAACAAAACCUUGUAUACAGGUAUGUUAAUAUGACAUCACAGCGACACAGCCUCAUCACUCAGACAUUGCCUGGCAAUUGUAAUCAAUAUAAGGACUAUGAAAUCAAUUCCAAUCACACCAUUGAUUACGAGUCGAACACACAUGUUCCAACAUUAAGCUCUCAGAAACAUCUGUCUCUACACUUGAACCAGGACAAGCCGAAAUCAGACAUCCAUACCCUGAGUAGAAAGUUGCACCUCUCCCGAUACCAGUCCGAGGUUUAAGGUUUGAAACUCCAGGUAACGAGUACUGUUGUGUAAUAAUAUCUCCAAUAUAUUGCCCGCAAAGUCCAUCCGUUAUAUCCAUCAACUGAUCAAACUGGGGGCGUCUCACCAGUUACAUGACUGAUGGAUCAAAGAAUCAAUGAUGCCACUGAUCAGGCCAAUAACCAACAGGAGAAUACCUUGGAAAUAUUUGAGAAUCGAGAUUUGAGGACAUAUAUCUUCCACUAGCAGAUCACAGUAUAAGUAGCAGUUUAUGUAAUGGCACUGGAAGUCAUCUUUACAGCAUUGGUUCUGGAAGCCACAGGGUCACGUGGACUGAAGUGUACAGGGAAUCAUGACCGCCAUCGAAUCAAGAAACGGGUAAAAUAAAUCCAUUUUCAGUUUUCAAGGCUACAACAGCUUGGAGAUGAAGAGGUCGUUCUUCUUCAUGAUGGGAACUCCCAUCGAUCUGUACAAAGAGCAGCAGCGCUAACAAAGUUCUGCUUGAAGAGGAAAGAAAGAGAGUUUUGCUACAAGUACUCGGUGUU
rnacentral:lncRNA from 1 species